rnacentral:rRNA from 1 species
GACGAACGCUGGCGGCGUGCUUAACACAUGCAAGUCGAACGGAAAGGCCCUGCUUGCAGGGUCCUCGAGUGGCGAACGGGUGAGUAACACGUGGGUGAUCUGCCCUGCACUUCGGGAUAAGCCUGGGAAACUGGGUCUAAUACCGGAUAGAAGCCAUUUUUAGUGUGGUGGUUGGAAAGUUUUUUCGGUGUAGGAUGAGCUUGCGGCCUAUCAGCUUGUUGGUGGGGUAAUGGCAUACCAAGGCGGCGACGGGUAGCCGGCCUGGGAGGGUGGACGGCCACAGUGGGACUGGGAUACGGCCCAGACUCCGACGGGAGGGAGCGGCGGGGAAUAGGGCAAAAUGGGCGCAAGCCUGAGGCAGAGACGGCGCGUGGGGGAUGACGGCCAUCGGGUUGUGAACGCCUUUCGCUAGGGACGAGGCUGUUUGUGACGGUACCGAGAUAAGAAGCACCGGCUAACUACGUG